AACGAACGCUGGCGGCAGGCUUAACACAUGCAAGUCGAACGCAUCCUUCGGGGUGAGUGGCAGACGGGUGAGUAACGCGAGGGAAUCUACCCAUCUCUGCGGAAUAGCUCCGGGAAACUGGAAUUAAUACCGCAUACGCCCUACGGGGGAAAGAUUUAUCGGGGAUGGAUGAGCCCGCGUUGGAUUAGCUAGUUGGCGGGGUAAAGGCCUACCAAGGCGACGAUCCAUAGCUGGUCUGAGAGGAUGAUCAGCCACAUUGGGACUGAGACACGGCCCAAACUCCUACGGGAGGCAGCAGUGGGGAAUAUUGGACAAUGGGCGCAAGCCUGAUCCAGCCAUGCCGCGUGAGUGAUGAAGGCCUUAGGGUUGUAAAGCUCUUUCACCGAUGAAGAUAAUGACGGCAGUCGGAGAAGAAGCCCCGGCUAGCUUCGUGCCAGCCGCCGCGGUAA
rnacentral:rRNA from 1 species